GCAUGUCCCAAAUUAUAUAUCUCUUCCCUCUCUUAUUCCUACUCUUAUGUUUAACAGGCAUCACAUUUCAGUUAAAUUUCAACACUUAAGAAUAACUGUGUAUUAAUUACAGAAUUAAACCAGUCAUAUUAAGUAGAACAGACAAAACAACUACUAAGAGGGAUAAUGUAUUAAGUUGUUCAUUAACAGUCAGGGCUAUGCUGAUCAAAUCACCGUUUCCCAUAGUGUCCACCUCACUCCAACAGGUUUCCCUCUUGGUGUUCAGUCAGUCGUCACCGAUCAGGGAGAACAUAUGGUAUUUGUCCCUUUGGGACUGGCUUAUUUCACUCAGCAUGAUGUGUUCCAGAUUCCUCCAUUUUGUUGCAAAUGACUGGAUUUCGUUGUUUCUUACUGCGGUAUAGUAUUCUAAAGAGUACAUAUCCCAUAAUUUCUUUAUCCAGUCUACCGUUGAUGGGCAUUUAGGUCGGUUCCAGGUCUUAGCUAUUGUGAAUUGAGCUGCAAUAAACAUUAGGCUGCAGACCGCUUUUUUGUUUGCCAAUUUAAAUUCCUUUGGGUAAAUUCCAAGGAGUGGGAUGGCUGGGUCGAACGGUAGGGUUAUCUUCAGGUUUCUGAGGGAUCUCCAGACUGACUUCCAUAGUGGCUUGACCAGUUUGCAUUCCCACCAACAGUGGGUUAGUGUCCCUUUUUCCCCACAUCCUCGCCAGCAUCUGUUGUUGGUAGAUUUCUGAAUGUGAGCCAUUCUAACCGGGGUGAGGUGGAACCUCAUUGUGGUUUUGAUUUGCAUUUCCCUGAUUGCUAAUGACCUUGAACAUUUUUUCAUGUGCCUGUUAGCCAUUUGGAUUUUCUCUUUUGAAAAACUAUAACAUUUUUUUAAGUCAGAGUUACACUGAGAGAGGAAGAGACACAGAGAGAGAGAUCUUCCAUCUGGUGGUUCACCCCCAAGAUAGCCACAAUACCCCGGGGCCAGGCUCAAGCCAGAAGCAGGAGCUUCAUCCAGGUCUCUCACAUGGGUGGCAGAGGCCCAGGCACUUGGGCCGUGUUCUGCUGCUUUACCCAGGCCAUUAGCAGGGAACUGGAUCAGAAGUGGAGCUGCCAGGACUUGAACUGAGCUGUGGGAUCUGACUUACUCCAGGAAUAGAAAGUCAGAAUUGAGUUGAAUUAUAGAACAAUCUUUGGUGUCUGCUGGAGAAUUGAUGUGUGGGAAAAAAACCCCACAAGUCUGGUUUCUGAAGUGUUCUUCACACUGUGUUAAGCAUGAGAAAUGAAGAGCAUUUCGGUUUUUCUCAAACACCGCUCUAGUGGGUUUGAGGUAAUACCACGUUGUGGUUUUGAUCUGUAUUUCCCUAAUGAUUAGUGAUGUUGAGUAUCUUUUCAUGGGCUGAUUCACCAUUUGGUUAUCUUCUUUAGAGAAGUGUCUGUUUAAGCUCUUUACCCAUUAGCACUUCUUAAUUUUCUAAAUGUAAAUUCAUAAGUUAUAUACUUUGCCCACUUCUGAAUUGGGUUGCUUUGUUGUUACUGUUGUUAAGCUUUAAGAGUUCUCUUUAUUUUGUGGCUAUUAAUCCUUUAUCAGACAUAUAAUUUCCAAAAAAAUUUCUCACAUUCUGGGGGUUGCAUUUUUACCCUGUUGACAGUGUCCCUGAUACACAAAAUGUUUUAAUCUUCUUGAAAUCAGGUUUGCUUAUUUUUUCUUUUGUUGCCUAUGUCCUUGGUAUUGUAUCCAAGACAUCACUGCCUAAUCCAAUGUUGUCAAGUUUUGCCCUUGGUUUUCUUGUCAGACUUUGAGUUAAUUUUUGAAUAUGGUGUUAAGUAAGGGUUUGACCUCAUUGUUUUGCAUGUGACUAUUCAGUGUCCUCAGAACUAUUUGUUGAAAAGAUUAAACUUUUUCCAUUGACUCGUUGCUGACAGUCAUUUGAUCAUAUAUGCAAAGGUUCAUUUCUAGACACACUAUACUAUCCCAUUGGUCUAUGCAUCUAUCUUAAUGCCAGCACCACAUUGCUUUAACUUCUAUAGCUUCGCCAUCAGUUUUGAAAUUAGGAACUACAAGUCCCCCAGCCUCGUUCUUUUUCAGGACUGUUUUGGCUACUCAGAAUUCCUUGAGAUUCCAUAUUAAUUUUAGGAUAUACCUUUUCUAAUUACACAAAAAAGUUCUUGGGAUUGUGAUGGGGAUCUGUGGUUCUCUUUGGAAACUGUUGACAUCUUAACAUUAAGCUUUCCGAUCCAUGAAUGUGGGUUAUCUUUCUGUUUAUUUAUGCCUGCUUUAAUUUCUUUUAGAAAUGUUUCAUAGUUUUCAUUGUACAAGUCUCUUAUCUCUUCAGAUAAUUCCUCUCAAUUCCUGUUUUAUUCUUUUUUUAAAUUUUUUUUUAUUUAUUUUAUUUUUUUUGACAGGCAGAGUGGACAGUGAGAGAGAGAGACAGAGAGAAAGGUCUUCCUUUGCCAUUGGUUCACCCUCCAAUGGCCGCCACGGCCGGCACGCUGCAGCCAGUGCACCGCGCUGAUCUGAUGGCAGGAGCCAGGUACUUAUCCUGGUCUCCCAUGGGGUGCAGGGCCCAAGUACUUGGGUCAUCCUCCACUGCACUUCCCUGGCCACAGUAGAGAGCUGGCCUGGAAGAGGGGCAACCGGGACAGAAUCCGGCGCCCCGACCGGGACUAGAACCCGGUGUGCCAGCGCCGCAAGGCGGAGGAUUAGCCUAGUGAGCCACGGUGCCGGCUGUUUUAUUCUUUUUAAAUUAAUUAAUAAAUUUUUAUUUGAAAGAUAGAAAUAAACAAAGGCAGAGAUACUUAUCCCAACUGCUGGUUCACUUUCCAAAUGUCCACAAUAGCCAAGGCUGGGCCAGGCCAAAGCCAGAGCCCAGAAUACAAUCUCUGUCUCCUACAUGGGUGGCAGGGACACGACUACUUGACUGUUCACCUGCUGUCUCCCAAGGUGGGGAUUAGCAGGAAGCUGGAUCAGAAAAGGAGUUGGGAGCUGGCAUUGUGGCACAGGUUAAGCCACUACCUGCAAUGGCAGCAUCCCAUAUAAGAGCACCAGUUCAAGUUCCAGCUGUUCUGCUUUUGACCCAGCUCGCUGUUAAUGAGCCUGGGAAAGUAGUGGAAGGUGGUCCAAGUAUGUGGGCCCCUGCUGAUGGAAACACUGAAGCACCUAUUGAAGCCAAGUUUCUGAAUCAGUCUGUGCCAAUCGGAGCAGAUAUGGCAAGAGCAAGAACCCUGGCUGAAUUUUCUGAGUGGCCCCAAGAGAACUGCAGGUGACCUAUCUUGCUUUCUAGGAUACAACAAAGGAAAAGGCUUUCUCUUAAUUUUUGUGUAGAAAGAAAUUGUUUUUGAGAGACAGAGAACAUCUGCUUGUUCACUCCCUUAUUGCCCGCAGUGCUCAGAACAGGGCCAGGCUGAAUCCAGGUCUCCCACAUUGGUGGCAAGAACGCAGCGACUUGGUCAUUGCUGUUUCCUGGGGCCUGCAUUGGCAGGAAGCUGAAGCCAGGAGCUGGAGUCAGGUACCAAAUCCAGACACUGCUGUAUGGGGGUGGGCAUCUUAGCCAGGGUCUUAACUGUUAGAUGAGAUUCCAUCCCCUCUUGUGUUUUUCACAGAAACAUUUGUAGACAUACAUUUCUCCUUUUGUAUUUUGUGGUUUCAUAAUGUGCUUUCCCAGGCAUGUUAGCAGGGAGCUGGAUCAGAAGUGGAGCAGCUGGGACUUGAACUGGCGCCCAUAAGGGAUGUGAGUGCUGCAGGCGGCAGCUUUACCGGCUAUGCCACAGCACCGGCCCCAUGUUACUGAUUUCUAACUUGAGCUUGUUGUGGUCAGAGAAGAUACUUUGUAUAAUACCUAUCUUUCAAAGUUUAAUGGGACUUAAUUUGUGGCCUCUAAAAAUAUUCCCUAGUAUAUAAUUGGGUGAAUUGCCAUCAGCUGAUCUGAAAUAGUCACCCACCAACUGAAGAACCCAGUAUUUUUCUUCGACAGGCUUAUAUGCUAAUCACAGUUUGGAUGCAGCCAGGGGAAGCGUGUCAAAGCGAAGGAGACAGCGUGGGGAAAUUGUCUGGCUCGCGGUGAUUCACCUGGUGACCUCAUAUCUGUGAUCUUCAGGCUGGGCGUGGCAACUGCCCCUAGUCAUCUUCCCAUACGCACUCCAACUCCUGACUGUUUUAUGGCUCUCUUAUGUUCUUUAUCUCCUGGGUGUGCACCUCUAUGUUUGAGAGGACUGUGUUAAGCCACAGAGCCCUCUUGGCCAUGUGGAUGAGGAGCUAGGAGGGCCUGGAGGUGUAGGAAUUCCUGGCAGCAACCCUGAACCGAUGGUGGUGGGUGCGGGGACAUUUAAAUACUCCAGCGUUUUCCCUCCAGUUUGGACAAGUGUGAGAGGUUCCUGCAACAGUCUACAGGAGUACCCUGCGGGCUUGAGCCAGUGUCAUGUUCUGUGGGACUUGGUCUGAUGUGGCUUCCUUCCAUUUCCAGUUGUACUGCUUUACUCCUCAGGAUGCCUUCUAACAGCCACUGACAUGGGAAUCUAUCUCAAGACAUGCUCUUGGGAAGUCUACGCUAAAGCACCAGAGAGCAUUAGUUCCCGGUUAAGAGAGUGGCCCAGUCCAAACACUCAUAGCUUCUCCCCUAAGAACUGCAGACGUCACCAAGAGACACAGAGGCGGACCCAUGUCCCCUGAGAACAUUCACAAACUGCAGCUCUGGGAUGUCACAACUGCCUUUCCCCACAUCUGACUGCUGAGUCCUCCAGUCACAUCUGAGCCACCACAGCACCUCCCCAGCCACUCUGCUCUUUAACAUCUGUUGGCCAGAUUUGAUUUCAAAGUCAGGUGAGCAUCUCAUUGGAGGAACAGAUAGAAGGAGUCUGAAUGAAAAUUAGAAGGAGGGACUUCCAGACUGUACUGCAGAGAUAUUCCAGGUCAUGUUAUAUGGAGUCUAGCAGACCAGGUUACAUACAUUUUUCUUUUUUUCUUUUUUUUUUUUAAGAUUUAUAUGAUGGCCGGCACCGCAGCUCACUAGGCUAAUCCUCCGCCUGCGGAGCUGGCACCCCGGGUUCUAGUCCCGGUUGGGGCACCGGAUUCUGUCCCGGUUGCUCCUUUUCCAGUCCAGUUCUCUGCUGUGGCCCGGGAGGGCAGUGGAGGAUGGUCCAAGUGCUUGGGCCCUGCACUCGCAUGGGAGAGCAGGAGGAAACACUUGGCUCCUGGCUUCGAAUCGGCACAGCACACUGGCUGUAACAGCCGUUUGGGGAGUGAACCAACGGAAGGAAGACCUUUCUCUCUGUCUCUCUCUCUCACUAACUCUGCCUGUCAAAAAAAAAAAAAAAAAAAAAAAGCCGGCGCCAUAAUCCUCCUCCUGCGGUGCCGGCACCCCAGGUUCUAGUCCUGGUCAGGGCGCCGGGUUCUGUCCCAGUUGCUCCUCUUCCAAUCCAGCUCUCUGCUGUGGCCCAGGAAGGCAGUGGAGGAUGGCCCAAGUCCUUGGGCCCUGCACCUGCAUCAGAGACCAGGGGGAAGCACCUGACUCCUGGCUUUGAAUCAGCGCAGCGCCAACCGCAACGUGCCGGCCGCAGCAGUCAUUGGAGGGUGAAUCAACAGAAAAGGAAGACCUUUCUCUCUGUCUCUCUCUCUCACUGUCUAAAUCUGCCUAUCAAAAAAAAAAAAAAAAGGAAAAAGAAAAAAAAGAUUUAUUUGAAAGACAGAGUUACACAUAGAGAGAAGCAGAUGCAGAGAGAGAGGUCUUCCAUCUGGUUCACUCCCCAACUGGCCACAAUGGCUGGAGCUGAGCCGAUCUGAAGCCAGGAGCCAAGAGCUUCUUUCAGGUCUCCCACGUGAGUGCAAGAGCCCAAGAACCUGGCCAUCUUGUACUGCUUUCCCAGGCCAUAGCAGAGAUCUGAUUGGAAAUGGAGUAGCUGGGACCCAAACUGGUACCCAUAUGGGAUGCCAGCACUGCAGGCGGCAGCUCAACCCGCUAUGCCGCAGUAUCAGCCCCAUACAUUAGUCUUACUUUGAAAUACCUUGGAGAGGGGCUGGAGUUGUGCUGUAGCUGGCUAAGGCUCUGAUGACUGCAGAGCUAUCUCAUACAGGUUCUCAUCCAGGCUGCUCCACUUUCGAGCCAACUCCCUGUUAAUGAGCCUAGAAAAGCACUCGAAGAUGGCUCAAGUGCUUAGGCCCCUGUACCCAUGUGGGAGACUCAGAAGAAGCUCCUGGCUCCUAGCUUCUGCCUGGCCCAGCUCUAGCCAAUGUAGCUGUUUGGGAUGUGAACCAGUGAAUGCAAGAUCUCUCUCUUUCUCUCUUUUUCUGUCUCUCCUCCUCUCUGUAAUUCUGCCUUUCAAAUAUUUUUUUUUUAAUUUUAAAUUUAAAGAAAAAAGAAGAAAUACACUGGAGAUAAUGGAAGAUUUUUGGAUACAGGAAUACUGUGACCUGUUUGUGUUUUUAACCUUUCAGAGGCUUAACGUUCCUACUGUUUUCCUACUGUGCUAGAGGCUGCAGAGCUGCUGCCUGGCCUCCUUCGGACCUCCCACACUGUCCCCGGAUGAGAGUCUGGACUGGUGGCCUUUGAAAGAUUUGCGCAUCUGCCAUGGCUGCCUCUGAUACUCAUCCAAUUAGCAAGUAGAGUGGACAGUGAGAGAGAGACAGAGAGACAGAGAGAAAGGCCUUCCUUUUUUUUCUGUUGGUUUACUCCCUAGUGGCCGCUGCGGCCGGCGCGUUGCGGCUGGUGCACCGCACUGAUCCGAAGCCAGGAGCCAGGUGCUUCUCUUGGUCUCCCAUGCGGGUGCAGGGCCCAAGCACUUGGGCCAUCCUCCACUGAACUCCAGGGCCACAGCAGAGAGCUGGACAGGAAGAGGAGCAACCGGGACAGAAUCUGGCACCCCGACCAGGACUAGAACCCGGUGUUGCCGGCACCGCAGAACUGCUUCCAACUUUACCAGCAACUGGAUUGUUUUUCCUAUUGAACUGCACUUUGAAGACUUAGGCUGUAUGGAGUUUUUCAGUGACUUAGCUGCUUGUCUGAAAGAGGAGAAGAGCAGAGCUCAGGAAAGUGAAGCCCAGGUGUGAAGCCUUUGUACAACCGCUUCUGGGGUUUUGUGAAGUGUCUAUUGCAGAGAUCACUCUACUAGCUUUUGUUAUUUUCCAUUCCCAAGGGAACGAUAGCUUGAAUCCUCAGAACAUCCCUCUCCCCGCCAAGUACACUUUCCUGGAGUCUUCAUCCCCACUUUAAAGAGUUAUUCCACGCUUCCUGUUUGGCCUUUUCUCCCCAGUAGCUGUUUUCCUUUUUUUUUUUUUUUUUUUUUUUUUUUUUAAUUUAUUUGACAGGUAGAAUUAUAGACAGUGAGCGAGAGAGACAGAGAGAAAGGUCUUCCUUCCGCUGGUUCACUCCCCAAAUGGCCGCUAUGGCCGGUGCUGCACCAAUCCAAAGCCAGGAGCCAGGUGCGUCUUCCUGGUCUCCCAUGCAAGUGCAGGGACCCAAGCACCUGGGCCAUCCUCCACUGCCCUCCCGGGCCACAGCAGAGAGCUGGACUGGAAGAGGAGCAACCGGGACUAGAACCCAGCGCCCAUAUGGGAUGCCAGCGCUGCAGGAGGAGGAUUAACCAAGUGAGCCACGGCACCAGCCCCUGUUUUCCUUUUAUCCGAAGAGAAGGGAGGAAAGACAAGGAAACCACUAAUUUUCUUCUCUCUUGUGCUCUAGGUGCAUAAGUGUGUGUUAAUUCUCAGGAUUCUGUGGCUCUUGAUGUAUAAGUCUUGAUGGAAUGGAGACAGGGUUGGAAACCUUGACAAUACACCAGUCCAGAAUCUUCUAUUCCCUUUCCUUGACUGCCACUCAGUUGAUAUUUAGAGCUGUUGCUCUUUGUUUGCUGUGGUGACAUUUUAACUUGUUAGACAUUCUUUGGGAGCAAGCAUUUGGCAAGGUGGCUAACGUGCCACUUGAGAUGCCUGCAGGAGUAGUUCCUAUCACCCAUGUGAGAGAGUCUUGAAUGGAGUUCCUGGCCUCUGGCUUUGGCCUAGCCCAGCCCCGGCUGCUGCAAGCAUUUGGGGCAUGAACCAGCAGAUGGGAGAUCUUUCGUCACUUCUCUGCUUUUCAAGUAAAUAUAAUAAACAAAUAAUUUGGAUUUUUUUUUUUAGCUACUAAUGGAAACAGACUGAGACAACUUCAAUCAAUUUUCUUAACCUCAAAAUCCAGCUUUUAGAUAUAUGUAUAAUCUCCAUUGUUUUAUGAUUAUCAAUUUAUGUAUCCUCACUGUAAAAAUUCAAACCAUGCAGAAGUGUAUGAAGUAAAAAAGGAAAGUUCCUGAUUAUAUAUCUCCCAAGAAUAUGGUUUUUAACAGUCCCUAGGUGUUUUUAUUUAUUUUUUUUACUUUAUUUUUAUUUAUUUAUUUAUUUAUUUUGACAGAGUUAGACAGUGAGAGAGAGAGAGAGACAGAGAGAAAGGUCUUCCUUCCGUUGGUUCACCCCCCAAAUGGCCGCCACAGCUGGAACUACGCCUGUCGGAAACCAGGAGCCGGGUACUUCCUCCUGGUCUCCCAUGUGGGUGCAAGGGCCCAAGCACUUGGGCCAUCCUCCACUGCCCUCUCGGGCCACAGCAGAGAGCUGGACUGGAGGAGGAGCAACUGGGACUAGAACCUGGGGUGCCGGUGCCGCAGGUGGAGGAUUAACCAAGUGAGCCAUGGCGCCAGCCCCUAGGUGUUUUUAAAUAUUUAUUUUCUUAUUUUUUUUUGUCAAUGCUUUGGUUUUUCAGUGUAAUCACUAGAGAACAUGAAUGCAUAGAAGUUUUCUUUUAUUAACAGCUUCAUUGGAUCCCAUUUGCAUGCCACAAAAUUCACUUUUAUGUGUAUAAUCCAAUGAUUUUUAAGUAAAUUUAGAGUCACUCAAUCAUCUCUCUAUGUACAGACAGAGAUAGUUACUUUCUUCAUUCCAGUUUAUCCUAUCUCCCCAAUUCUCAGAGGUGCUUAAGAUGCCCACAUCAUGCUAAGCAUGGCUAAAAGACCGCUUUUGAGAACUCCGGGAGGUUCUACACUUACUAGUUCAGCUAUCUGCUCACCAAACACCUGCCCAUUGGGUUUUCAUUCCACUUAUUUUUACCCAUGAUAUUUGCUAUUGUAAUUUGAUCAAAUAUUUGCAAAUACAUGACACUGAGUAUAAAGAUAACAGGAGAUGCUUCUCUGAAAUCUAAGGUGAAUGCAUUGGAAAAGCUGGCUAAAAGCAAGUGGCUAAAAAAUGGUUGCAUUAGGUCUGAGAGAGAAAUCAGUGAGAGGAAACAUGGUACCAUCUCCAAGAGUUUGCAUUAAAAUUGCUUUUUUACAAGUGCCUUUCAGUCACUGCUCCACUUUAGAGAAAUCAUAGAUGAUUCAGUAAAGGCAAGAUACACCAAUCACUUCAAGAAAACUUCCAUCAGAGUCUCCAUAAUGAAAGAAAAAGCCUGAUGCUGCCCCAAGACCAGUGAAAGAAUUCACACUUGUAAGUCUUAAAAAAAAAAAAUGCGUGUAAUUUACAUUAGACUUCUUGCUCUUAAAACUGUAUAGUGUAUAAUGCUUCAUGAUAUAAUUCUGCAUUUUAGUUGACCUUUUUAUAAAAGAUUUAUUUUAUGUUUAUUUCAUUUGAAAUGCGGAGUUAGAGAAAGAGGGACAGACUCCCCAAAUGGUCACAACAGCCAGGGCUGGGCCAGGCCCAAGCCAAGAGCU